rnacentral:rRNA from 1 species
GACGAACGCUGGCGGCGUGCUUAACACAUGCAAGUCGAGCGGUAAGGCUCCUUCGGGAGUACACGAGCGGCGAACGGGUGAGUAACACGUGAGCAAUCUGCCCUUCACUUCGGGAUAACCCUCGGAAACGAGAGCUAAUACCGAAUACGACCACUUCAGGCAUCUGAUGGUGGUGGAAAGUUCCGGCGGUGAAGGAUGAGCUCGCGGCCUAUCAGCUUGUUGGUGAGGUAAUGGCUCACCAAGGCUUCGACGGGUAGCCGGCCUGAGAGGGUGACCGGCCACACUGGGACUGAGACACGGCCCAGACUCCUACGGGAGGCAGCAGUGGGGAAUAUUGGACAAUGGGCGGAAGCCUGAUCCAGCAACGCCGCGUGAGGGAUGACGGCCUUCGGGUUGUAAACCUCUUUCAGCACAGACGAAGCGCACUUAGGGGGGGUGACGGUAUGUGCAGAAGAAGCACCGGCCAACUACGUGCCAGCCGCCGCCGUAAAAC